GAUGAUAUAGUUCAAGUGAUAGAGCACGUGCCUAACAGGCACAAGAUCCUAGGUUCAAUCCCUAGUACCUCCU
rnacentral:tRNA from 1 species